rnacentral:lncRNA from 1 species
CCUGUUAAAAUCAAGUUGAUGUGCGUGUGCUCCACUCAGCGGAGAACUCGCCGGAGAUGGAGCGAUUCCUCUGCACUCUGGAAGAAGAGACAAGAGCACGCUCUGGAAGCCUUUAUGAGGAGGCUUUUAGAAGCCAUUUUGAAAAGCCAGUCGUUAUCCUUCGGUGUUUUGGAAGUCUGGACUGGACCUCCCAGGUGAUAUUAGGAUUGACACCACACCCGUUUUAUGGCGGGCGGCUGCACAGCCUCCAUCCCGCCGCGUGACACGGGAACACAUGUCCCUGUCUGCAGGGAGGAAGGAAUGAGCCAUAUCCACUGGUCACACCCCAGGUGAGCCACACCCCAGGUGAGCCACACCUGCACUUUGAGGCUUGAUUUGAGCUGUUUUACCGCUGCCUAUCAACCUUGUUCCUAUUGCAGCUGUACCAGCUGGACUGGGGUGUGCGAGGCUGCGGUGCCCUGCAGGUGCCCUGGAGCUGCAGCAUCGUCCUUGGAGGCACACACUGGAGCACCUCCAGUGCUGCUGGUGACACAGGAGGCGCAGGGAGACACAGUGUUGAGCCUCAACCAGAAGCACCAACAUCAGAGAUCAUAGGGAUUCUUAAUCAACUGAACUGAUCCUAUGAAUUUUUCACCAGUUCUGAGGCUCUGGACCACCCUAUCCAAUACUACAGGUCUCAGUUCUCUCCUCUGUGCAUCACUCUCCUACUCACAGUGAGUUUUAAGGGAAGCCAAGUGUGACCUUGGGUCACACAGCUUGGGAAAGGGUUUGCAGAGCAUGUUCUAGAGUGACAUUUGGUCCCCAGGGAGGCCUGUGAGUUGCCAAACUCCUCCUGGGUGAUGGAGUUCCCUGCACUAUGUCAGCCAACACCCCCACAUGUUCUGAGCAGAUGCAAAACAUGCUCUAAUGGACAUGAGGAACUGUUCUCUGAGUUACCAAUUGCGAAUGCAAGGAUGGGUUUCACUUCUGCUCUGGGAACAAGUGGGACUCGCCAGUAGUGCAAAGCAUGUCACUGUGGUGACCCUCUGUGUGAUAAUUCUCUAAGGAGUGGCAGUCCCAUGGAAACACCGUGUUCUGCUCUGCCCUGACCUGCCCCAGGGAGCUGAGGGUACCUGGGGACAUGGCUCAGUGGUGGCCUUGGCGGCGCCGUGAGUGAACCUUUGGACUGGGUGAUAUCAGAGGGCUUUUCCAACCUAACCCAUCCUGUGAUUCCGUGAUUCCAUGACUCUCUCUGAGGACACGCUGCUGUUUCCCACGUGGCUGUGCACAGAUGUUGCCAGGUGUCCCCUGCCAGCCGGGCCCUGGCACCUCAGCUCACCAGGAAUGAGAGAAGGUGACAGAAUAAAAGUAGAGGGAAACCAGUUGGUCA